CCUACGGGAGGCAGCAGUGAGGAAUAUUGGUCAAUGGGCGCGAGCCUGAACCAGCCAAGUAGCGUGAAGGAUGACUGCCCUACGGGUUGUAAACUUCUUUUAUAAAGGAAUAAAGCGAGGCACGUGUGCCGUUUUGUAUGUACUUUAUGAAUAAGGAUCGGCUAACUCCGUGCCAGCAGCCGCGGUAAUACGGAGGAUCCGAGCGUUAUCCGGAUUUAUUGGGUUUAAAGGGAGCGUAGAUGGGUUGUUAAGUCAGUUGUGAAAGUUUGCGGCUCAACCGUGGAAUUGCAAGUGAUACUGGCAGUCUUGAGUACAGGUGAGGUAGGUGGAAUUCGUGGUGUAGCGGUGAAAUGCUUAGAUAUCACGAAGAACUCCGAUUGCGAAGGCAGCUUACUAAACUGCCACUGACGUUGAUGCUCGAAAGUGUGGGUAUCGAACAGGAUUAGAUACCCUUGUAGUC
rnacentral:rRNA from 1 species